GACGAACGCUGGCGGCGUGCUUAACACAUGCAAGUCGAACGGAAAGGCCCUGCCUAUGUGGGGUGCUCGAGUGGCGAACGGGUGAGCAACACGUGAGUAACCUGUACCUGCCCUUGGGAUAACCUAAGGAAACUGGGGCUAUUACCGGCUAGGAGCUCUUGCUGCAUGGUGGGGGCUGGAAAGUUUCGGCGGUUGGGGAUGGACUCGCGGCCUAUCAGCUUGUUGGUGGGGUAGUGGCUUACCAAGGCUUUGACGGGUAGCCGGCCUGAGAGGGUGACCGGCCACAUUGGGACUGAGAUACGGCCCAGACUCCUACGGGAGGCAGCAGUGGGGAAUAUUGCACAAUGGGCGGAAGCCUGAUGCAGCAACGCCGCGUGCGGGAUGACGGCCUUCGGGUUGUAAACCGCUUUCGCCUGUGACGAAGCGUGAGUGACGGUAAUGGGUAAAGAAGCACCGGCUAACUACGUG
rnacentral:rRNA from 1 species